rnacentral:rRNA from 1 species
AGUGAACGCUGGCGGUAGGCCUAACACAUGCAAGUCGAACAGCAGCACAGUAAGAGCUUGCUCUUACGGGUGGCGAGUGGCGGACGGGUGAGGAAUACAUCGGAAUCUACUUUUUCGUGGGUGAUAACGUAGGGAAACUUACGCUAAUACCGCAUACUUCCUACGGGUUAAAGCAGGGGAUCUUCGGACCUUGCGCGAUUGAAUGAGCCGAUGUCGGAUUAGCUAGUUGGCGGGGUAAAGGCCCACCAAGGCGACGAUCCGUAGCUGGUCUGAGAGGAUGAUCAGCCACACUGGAACUGAGACACGGUCCAGACUCCUACGGGAGGCAGCAGUGGGGAAUAUUGGACAAUGGGCGCAAGCCUGAUCCAGCCAUACCGCGUGGGUGAAGAAGGCCUUCGGGUUGUAAAGCCCUUUUGUUGGGAAAGAAAAGCAGCAGGUUAAUACCCCGAUGUUCUGACGGUACCCAAAGAAUAAGCACCGGCUAACUUCGUG